AUGGGUCGCCAAGAUGCCGAGGCCGAGGCGGAGCUCCAGGACAUCGAGGCCGCGUACGCCGCUGAGUCCGCCAGGCGUCGCCACCUCCCCGACUGGUCCAAGACGCCAGCCCCCCGCUCCCGUCCGCCCACGGCCCAACCCAGUCCCCACGGCCGCGUGUGCCUCCUCGCCGUCGUGGGUGCUCUCUCCCCCACUUGCCAAGGACAACUUAGAACAGCUUGUGUGUGCCUCUCAGAUUCCUACAGAAGAAAGGAUACCUUUUCUUUUUUAUUGGAUGGACAACAACAUAACCACAACAAUAGAUCUAUCAGUCGACGUGAUGCGAUGCCCCUUAGCCGGGACACCAUCAAAAUGUUUGCCACAUGGACGGGCAUUUUUCCCACCAAGCAGGUGAAGGAGGAUAUGUGCAAACUUUUCAUGGAUGUGCAGAGGAUGGAGUUCGACCGGGAGAUACGAAAAAUAAGUUGA
rnacentral:rRNA from 1 species